rnacentral:rRNA from 1 species
UACGAAGGGUGCAAGCGUUACUCGGAAUUACUGGGCGUAAAGCGUGCGUAGGUGGUUUGUUAAGUCUGAUGUGAAAGCCCUGGGCUCAACCUGGGAAUUGCAUUGGAUACUGGCAGGCUAGAGUGCGGUAGAGGAUGGCGGAAUUCCCGGUGUAGCAGUGAAAUGCGUAGAGAUCGGGAGGAACACCGAUGGCGAAGGCAGGUCUCUGGGCUGACACUGACGCUCAUGCACGAAAGCGUGGGGAGCAAACAGG